rnacentral:rRNA from 1 species
CCUACGGGUGGCAGCAGUGAGGAAUAUUGGUCAAUGGGCUUACGCCUGAACCAGCCAAGUCGCGUGAGGGAAGACUGCCCUAUGGGUUGUAAACCUCUUUUGUCAGGGAGCAACGCCGGCUACGUGUGGCCGGACUGAGAGUACCUGACUAAGAAGCCCCGGCUAACUACGUGCCAGCAGCCGCGGUAAUACGUAGGGGGCAAGCGUUAUCCGGAUUUACUGGGUGUAAAGGGAGCGUAGACGGCUGUACAAGUCUGAAGUGAAAGCCCGUGGCUCAACCGCGGAACUGCUUUGGAAACUGUAAAGCUGGAGUACUGGCGAGGCAGGCGGAAUUCCUAGUGUAGGAGUGAAAUCCGUAGAUAUCUGGAGGAACAUCAGUGGCGAAGGCGACUAUCUGGCACAUAACUGACGCUGAGGAGCGAAAGCGUGGGUAGCAAACAGGAUUAGAUACCCGUGUAGUC